AUUGAACGCUGGCGGCAGGCCUAACACAUGCAAGUCGAGCGGAUGAAGGGAGCUUGCUCCUGGAUUCAGCGGCGGACGGGUGAGUAAUGCCUAGGAAUCUGCCUGGUAGUGGGGGAUAACGUCCGGAAACGGGCGCUAAUACCGCAUACGUCCUGAGGGAGAAAGUGGGGGAUCUUCGGACCUCACGCUAUCAGAUGAGCCUAGGUCGGAUUAGCUAGUUGGUGGGGUAAAGGCCUACCAAGGCGACGAUCCGUAACUGGUCUGAGAGGAUGAUCAGUCACACUGGAACUGAAACACGGUCCAGACUCCUACGGGAGGCAGCAGUGGGGAAUAUUGGGCAAUGGGCGAAAGCCUGAUCCAGCCAUGCCGCGUGUGUGAAGGAGGUCUUCGGAUUGUAAAGCACUUUAAGUUGGGAGGAAGGGCAGUAAGUUAAUACCUUGCUGUUUUGACGUUACCAACAGAAGAAGCACCGGCUAACUUCGUG
rnacentral:rRNA from 1 species